GACGAACGCUGGCUGCGUGCUUAACACAUGCAAGUCGAACGGAAAGGCCCUGCUUUUGUGGGGUGCUCGAGUGGCGAACGGGUGAGUAACACGUGAGUAACCUGCCCUUGACUUUGGGAUAACUUCAGGAAACUGGGGCUAAUACCGGAUAGGAGCUCCUGCUGCAUGGUGGGGGUUGGAAAGUUUCGGCGGUUGGGGAUGGACUCGCGGCUUAUCAGCUUGUUGGUGGGGUAGUGGCUUACCAAGGCUUUGACGGGUAGCCGGCCUGAGAGGGUGACCGGCCACAUUGGGACUGAGAUACGGCCCAGACUCCUACGGGAGGCAGCAGUGGGGAAUAUUGCACAAUGGGCGGAAGCCUGAUGCAGCAACGCCGCGUGCGGGAUGACGGCCUUCGGGUUGUAAACCGCUUUCGCCUGUGACGAAGCGUAAGUGACGGUAAUGGGUAAAGAAGCACCGGCUAACUACGUGCCAGCAGCCGCGGUGAUACGUAGGGUGCGAGCGUUGUCCGGAUUUAUUGGGCGUAAAGGGCUCGUAGGUGGUUGAUCGCGUCGGAAGUGUAAUCUUGGGGCUUAACCCUGAGCGUGCUUUCGAUACGGGUUGACUUGAGGAAGGUAGGGGAGAAUGGAAUUCCUGGUGGAGCGGUGGAAUGCGCAGAUAUCAGGAGGAACACCAGUGGCGAAGGCGGUUCUCUGGGCCUUUCCUGACGCUGAGGAGCGAGAGCGUGGGGAGCGAACAGGCUUAGAUACCCUGGUAGUCCACGCUGUAAACGGUGGGUACUAGGUGUGGGGUCCAUUCCACGGGUUCCGUGCCGUAGCUAACGCUUUAAGUACCCCGCCUGGGGAGUACGGCCGCAAGGCUAAAACUCAAAGGAAUUGACGGGGCCCCGCACAAGCGGCGGAGCAUGCGGAUUAAUUCGAUGCAACGCGUAGAACCUUACCUGGGUUUGACAUGGAUCGGGAGUGCUCAGAGAUGGGUGUGCCUCUUUUGGGGUCGGUUCACAGGUGGUGCAUGCCUGUCGUCAGCUCGUGUCGUGAGAUGUUGGGUUAAGUCCCGCAACGAGCGCAACCCUUGUUCACUGUUGCCAGCACGUUAUGGUGGGGACUCAGUGGAGACCGCCGGGGUCAACUCGGAGGAAGGUGGGGAUGACGUCAAGUCAUCAUGCCCCUUAUGUCCAGGGCUUCACGCAUGCUACAAUGGCUGGUACAGAGAGUGGCGAGCCUGUGAGGGUGAGCGAAUCUCGGAAAGCCGGUCUCAGUUCGGAUUGGGGUCUGCAACUCGACCUCAUGAAGUCGGAGUCGCUAGUAAUCGCAGAUCAGCAACGCUGCGGUGAAUACGUUCCCGGGGCU
rnacentral:rRNA from 1 species